rnacentral:rRNA from 1 species
GUAGGUGGCAAGCGUUGUCCGGAAUUAUUGGGCGUAAAGCGCGCGCAGGCGGUUCUUUAAGUCUGAUGUGAAAGCCCACGGCUCAACCGUGGAGGGUCAUUGGAAACUGGAGAACUUGAGUACAGAAGAGGAAAGCGGAACUCCACGUGUAGCGGUGAAAUGCGUAGAGAUGUGGAGGAACACCAGUGGCGAAGGCGGCUUUCUGGUCUGUAACUGACGCUGAGGCGCGAAAGCGUGGGGAGCAAACAGGGAUUAGAUACCCUGGUAGUCCACGCCGUAAACGAUGAGUGCUAAGUGUUAGGGGGGGUUUCCGCCCCCUUAGUGCUGCAGCUAACGCAUUAAGCACUCCGCCUGGGGAGUACGGCCGCAAGGCUG